CCCGGGCCUUGUACACACCGCCCGUCACACCAUGGGAGUUGGUUUUACCCGAAGGCGGCGCGCCAACCGCAAGGAGGCAGUCGACCACGGUAAGGUCAGCGACUGGGGUG
rnacentral:rRNA from 1 species